CAUCUAUGGACGCUCCCAGUCAGCUUCGCUGAUCAAUAUGGCAGAGCUCUUACUUUGAGCUCUAGUUUUGUUACGUGAUCACUUUCACACUUUACUCUGUCAUACUUUAUCAUUCCGCCCAUAUACUGUCUAUGAAGAGAUAGAAGUGAAAGUAAAACUGAUUAAGGAGAAACGUGUUCCUAAAUUACAUCAGUGGGACUGUGCUCACAUAAAAUGGGAUAAACGAACACCUGAGUGACCAAAGGAGAUACUAUCCAGAGAGACCCCUGAUGAUGAAAACAGAGAUAAAAUGAGAGUGGCAAUGUGUGGCUGUGGAAACUGGCAGCAGCCUGCAGCUGUCUGAACUAAUGCUGGACCAACCAUGGAUCUGUCACUGCUAAUUAACCACAGUUUCCCUCUGGUUUCAUUUCUCUCUCUCUCUCCUAACUAAACCCGAAGCCCUCCCCUCUGUCCACCUCUACCCCUCGUUUCUCCACAUCCAUAAAGCCUCUGUGCUAAGGGAGCAGCGCUAGCCUAGAUCUGUCAUGCAUCGUUAGCUUUAUUAAUAUUAGCACUCAUUAUUUAUCUCAUAUUUGUAUGGCAGGUGCUUCUGUGCUGCCUUCCUAUAAACCACUCGCUUACCAGUUAGGCACGAGAGGCCUUGGUUGUUUUAUAACAUUACAUUAUUUUUAUUUUAUAGUUGUUUAACUUCUUGUAAACGAAUGUAUAAACAAAAUAGAGAAGGAAGGAAAUAAAACAUAUAACAGAA